rnacentral:rRNA from 1 species
GGGCCUACGGGACGCAGCAGUGAGGAAUAUUGGUCAAUGGCCGAGAGGCUGAACCAGCCAAGUCGCGUGAGGGAAGACGGCCCUACGGGUUGUAAACCUCUUUUGCCGGGGAGCAAGCCUGAGCACGUGUGCCCAGGCGGAGAGUACCCGGAGAAAAAGCAUCGGCUAACUCCGUGCCAGCAGCCGCGGUAAUACGGAGGAUGCGAGCGUUAUCCGGAUUUAUUGGGUUUAAAGGGUGCGCAGGCGGGCUGUUAAGCCGGCGGUAAAACUUUAGGG